CCUACGGGCGGCAGCAGUGAGGAAUAUUGGUCAAUGGGCGCGAGCCUGAACCAGCCAAGUAGCGUGAAGGAUGACUGCCCUACGGGUUGUAAACUUCUUUUAUCAAGGAAUAAUGUGAGGCACGUGUGCCUUUUUGUAUGUACUUUAUGAAUUAGGAUCGGCUAACUCCGUGCCAGCAGCCGCGGUAAUACGGAGGAUCCGAGCGUUAUCCGGAUUUAUUGGGUUUAAAGGGAGCGUAGAUGGGUUGUUAAGUCCGUUGGGAAAGUUUGCGGCUCAACCGUAAAAUUGCAAUUGAUACUGGCAGCCUUGAGUACAGUUGAAGUAUGCGGAAUUCGUGGUGUAGCGGUGAAAUGCUUAGAUAUCACGAAGAACUCCGAUUGCGAAGGCAGCCUACUAAACUGCCACUGACAUUGAGGCUCGAAAGUGUGGGUAUCAAACAGGAUUAGAUACCCUUGUAGUC
rnacentral:rRNA from 1 species